UAAGGCUGAACUGGCAAUUUGGGUAAACGAAACAGAAUUGUAACUUACUAACAUAAAGUUUUAAGUACGUAUUAAUAAUGAUAAUGUGUAUAAGAGUCUUGACCAAUUACGUGCCAGCAGUCGCGGUAAUACGUAGGAGACCAGCUUAUUAUUCAUAUUAAAUAGGUUUAAAGGGUACCCAAACGGUCAAAAUACCUGAAAUAUAGGAGUACUUGACUAGAGAUAUAUGUAAGAAGACCGUACUUGAGGUGCAGAGAUUAUAUUUUAUGAUACCAAAAGGACUGAUAACGGCGAAGGCUGGCUUUUAUGUAAUAACUGACGUUGACGGACGAAGGCAUAGAUAACUAACAGGAUUCGUUACCCUAGUAGUCUUUGCAGACAAUGAUGAAUGCCAUUAACUAGAUAUAAAUUCUUAGUUAUAUGAAUGAAAAUGAAAGCAUUUCACCUCAAGAGUAAUGUGGGAACGCAGGAACUGAAAUCACUAGACCGUUUCUGACACCAGUAGUGAAGUAUGUUAGUUAAUUCGAUGU
rnacentral:rRNA from 1 species